GGCGCAAAAUAGCUAAUCAUCCAAUAGAGUGGUAUAAUAUUCCCUUAGCAUGGGAAUGGUCCAGGGUUCGAUUCCCUGCAUCUCCA
rnacentral:tRNA from 1 species